UCGGCCAAAAUUGACCCGGCCCAUUACUAUUUCCCAUUCUCCAAAUACCGGAUUUAUCAGCAAAACAGUGGGCAAAAGUUCAACAACAGCAACAUCAACAUCGACAAUAUAACACGACAUAUCCCUGAAUUCCCUCUUCUUCACGUUGAAAUUCAAUACCAAGCUUCCAUCUUCAAUCACGGCAAAUCGGUGGAUUUCUUGGCUUUUGCAGAGCCAACAGCUACAAUUGUCUUCUCUAUCACUUCAUGAUGAAAACUUUUACUCCUUUUCCCUCUCUUUCUUAGUUUUGAAAUUUGAAUUCUUAGCUUCUGGAAGAAGUUGGAUCUGAGUUUUUUCCUAUAAACACAACCCUCUAUUCACUCAUUAAGGAAGAGGAGAAAAAAGAUCAAGUUCUCGGUCCCUCUUUAUUUUCUUAAUUGGAGUCGAAUUCGAGUUCGAAUUGAAGAGAUUCAGGUUACACUUUGAUUACUCUCAUCGCUUUCAUCGUAUGCACUUGAAGAAUGAGCUCGAAUCACCGACAAGAACGCCCUAGUUCACUGCCCCCAAAAAAGGAAUUUAUUGGUUAAAUGACGCUGCUCUCGACCGAUACUCAGUUUGAUAAUAGAGGCCCCCUUUCUCGUCACUAACUUCAUUGUCCCUUCUUUGGUUUCUUUGUUUUCGUUUGUUUGUUUUCCUGUAAAGUAAAUCAACAACAAUGGCAUUCUUCCAUAACAUUCUGUAGUUGUAGUUCUGCAUUUAUGUUUUACCUUUGUGUAGCUAAUAUUUUUAAAAUGUUAUAGUUGAAGACAUUCUAUGAUGUACUAACUUGUUGUAAGGUACUUUUUUCCUU